rnacentral:rRNA from 1 species
ACGCACGCUGGCGGCGUGCUUAACACAUGCAAGUCGAACGGAAAGGCCCCUUUGGGGGUACUCGAGUGGCGAACGGGUGAGUAACACGUGAGUAACCUGCCCUUGACUUCGGGAUAACUUCAGGAAACUGGGGCUAAUACCGGAUAGGAAUCCUUGCUGCAUGGUGGGGGUUGGAAAGCUUCGGCGGUUUUGGAUGGACUCGCGGCUUAUCAGCUUGUUGGUGGGGUAGUGGCUUACCAAGGCUUUGACGGGUAGCCGGCCUGAGAGGGCGACCGGCCACAUUGGGACUGAGAUACGGCCCAGACUCCUACGGGAGGCAGCAGUGGGGAAUAUUGCACAAUGGGCGGAAGCCUGAUGCAGCAACGCCGCGUGCGGGAGGACGGCCUUCGGGUUGUAAACCGCUUUCAGCAGGGGCGAAGCUUGUGGUGACGGUACCUGCAGAAGAAGCACCGGCUAACUACGUG